UACGCAGGGUGCGAGCGUUAAUCGGAAUUACUGGGCGUAAAGUGUGCGCAGGCGGCCGCGCAAGUCGAGUGUGAAAGCCCCGGGCUUAACUUGGGAAUUGCGCUCGAAACUACGUGGCUGGAGUGUGGCAGAGGAAGGUGGAAUUCCAGGUGUAGCGGUGAAAUGCGUAGAGAUCUGGAGGAACACCGAUGGCGAAGGCAGCCUUCUGGGCCAACACUGACGCUCAUGCACGAAAGCGUGGGGAGCAAACAGG
rnacentral:rRNA from 1 species